AAGCCUGCGAGGCCGGUUGGGUAUGUGAAGUUCGCCUGUUCGGCGAUGCGUCUCUUUCGGAUGUAGCGUGUUGGGCUCUCGGCGUAUUCUUGCUUUUCUUCUUCACUUCAACCCGGCCAAACUGCACUAUUGGACUACAGCAAGCUGGUGCCGUCCGGUGGAGCUUCGUGUGGGAACUACUGGUGCUUACCUGGUGCCGCCACGUUGGAUGAACGCACAAAAAUCCCGGAGCCAGCAUUCAUAUAGGCGAAACAAACAUUUCCUCGUUUUCAA
rnacentral:lncRNA from 1 species